GUUAGGAAUAUUGGACAAUGGGCGCAAGCCUGAUCCAGCCAUGCCGCGUGAACGAUGAAGGCCUUCGGGUUGUAAAGUUCUUUAGCCGAUGAUUAUAAUGACUGUAGUCGGAAAAUAAGCCCCGGCUAACUUCGUGCCAGCAGCCGCGGUAAUACGAAGGGGGCGAGCGUUACUCGGAAUCACUGGGCGUAAAGCGUGCGUAGGCGGUCUCGUAAGUUAGGAGUGAAAGUCCAGUGCUCAACCUUGGAAUUGCUCUUAAUACUGCAAGGCUAGAAUCUCGGAGAGGAUAGCGGAAUUUCCAGUGUAGCAGUGAAAUGCGUAGAUAUUGGAAGGAACACCAGUGGCGUAAGCGGCUAUCUGGACGAGUAUUGACGCUGAGGCACGAAAGCGUGGGGAUCAAACAGGAUUAGAAACCCUGGUAGUCC
rnacentral:rRNA from 1 species